AACACUUGGGAUUACAAGGUUGCUAGUUUCAUGGAGGCCUGUUGUAGUAUAAAUCUAUCUGUGUCACACAGGUUACAGUGGAGGGGGACAAUAUUUAACCAUAACAUUACUUGUAGUUGUGACUGUAAGGAUCGAUAUUAAUAUUUCAUGUUCAUCCCUAUAUAUCAGUCUUUAUUUUGGCCUCAUAUCAAUCUUUUGAUUUA